AGUGUUUAUAAAGCGCCAGAACUUAAUUUUUUAAGUUGACGAGGUCAGAGUUAAUCGAAAUAUCGGCGGAUGCUCUGCGGUGUGCCACCAUCGAAGGAUUUCUACAAAGGGUGAAAGCAAUUUCACUACACAAAAAGAAACCCAUGUGGAUUG
rfam:Clostridium bartlettii CAG:1329 genomic scaffold, scf11